GGAAUAUAUCAAGGUGAUACAAGAGAUCAACCAAGUUUUACUUAAUAGCUAACGGUGAUCAUAAGGUGAGACAAGUGGAGCCCGAAAAGAUCCAUGGAAGGGUAUAGCUUAGCACUAGCGGUGUUGCUCGUUGGAUGGGUAACGAGUAUCUCUUAUGCCUUCCUUUGAUACUAGUUACGCCCUUUUUGUGCAAAUUAUAAAGUUGCAGUUUAAACCAGUUUGUAAACCAACUGUUGAAACAUAUUAUGGUAAAUAUAUAAGAUCAUAUUGUAAGUAACUAAAUAUGUAGUUUAUAUCAGCUGUAGUCUGGUUAUACAGAUCCUGGUCAUGAUCCCGAGCACCUAAAAAGGGUCAUG